GCUGCAUUUCCUGAAUCAAAGGACAUCCAAGGAACCUCCACCGUCAAAGAACCUAAACCCAAUGAUCACUGUUGAUAAUUCUGUCUUCUACAAAUACUUGAGGAAGCAUGAGUAAAGUACUUCUGAGAUGAACUACAAAUGCUGCAGGCUGCUUCACUCAGAACAUCUUAGGACACGGUAUUAAUUUAUGGAGCUACACAUAACCCAGCAUUCAGGGAUCUGCAGAUGCACCAG